GACCUAGUAGUGUAAUGGUAACACACCUAUUGCCAUUACUCCCACCAGAUGCUUUCUGUCGGAAAUCUCUGUUCGAAUCAGGGCUGGGUCA